UGCCAGCCGCCGCGGUAAUACGGAGGGGGUUAGCGUUGUUCGGAAUUACUGGGCGUAAAGCGUACGUAGGCGGGUUGUUAAGUUAGAGGUGAAAUCCCAGGGCUCAACCCUGGAACUGCCUUUAAUACUGGCAACCUAGAGUUCGAGAGAGGUGAGUGGAAUUCCGAGUGUAGAGGUGAGAUUCGUAGAUAUCUGGAGGAACAUCAGUGGCGAAGGCGACUGUCUGGACCAAUACUGACGCUGAGGUGCGAAAGCGCGGGGAGCAAACAGGAUUAGAUA
rnacentral:rRNA from 1 species